rnacentral:rRNA from 1 species
AACGAACGCUGGCGGCAGGCUUAACACAUGCAAGUCGAGCGCCCCGCAAGGGGAGCGGCAGACGGGUGAGUAACGCGUGGGAACGUACCCUUUGCUACGGAAUAGCUCCGGGAAACUGGAAUUAAUACCGUAUGUGCCCUACGGGGGGAAGAUUUAUCGGCAAAGGAUCGGCCCGCGUUGGAUUAGCUAGUUGGUGGGGUAAUGGCCUACCAAGGCGACGAUCCAUAGCUGGUCUGGGAGGAUGAUCAGCCACAUUGGGACUGAGACACGGCCCAAACGCCUACGGGAGGCAGCAGUGGGGAAUAUUGGACAAUGGGCGCAAGCCUGAUCCAGCCAUGCCGCGUGAGUGAUGAAGGCCUUAGGGUUGUAAAGCUCUUUCACCGGAGAAGAUAAUGACGGUAUCCGGAGAAGAAGCCCCGGCUAACUUCGUGCCAGCAGCCGCCGUAAUAC